AUACGGAGGAUCCGAGCGUUAUCCGGAUUUAUUGGGUUUAAAGGGAGCGUAGGUGGACAGUUAAGUCAGUUGUGAAAGUUUGCGGCUCAACCGUAAAAUUGCAGUUGAUACUGGCUGUCUUGAGUACAGUAGAGGUGGGCGGGAUUCGGGGUGUAGCGGUGAAAUGCUUAGAUAUCACGAAGAACCCCGAUUGCGAAGGCAGCUCACUGGACUGCAACUGACACUGAUGCUCGAAAGUGUGGGUAUCAAACAGGAUUAGAUACCCUGGUAGUCCACACAGUAAACGAUGAAUACUCGCUGUUUGCGAUAUACAGUAAGCGGCCAAGCGAAAGCAUUAAGUAUUCCACCUGGGGAGUACGCCGGCAACGGUGAAACUCAAAUGAAUUGACGGGG
rnacentral:rRNA from 1 species